rnacentral:rRNA from 1 species
CUACGGGCGGCAGCAGUGAGGAAUUUUGCGCAAUGGGGGAAACCCUGACGCAGCAACGCCGCGUGAGCGAAGAAGGCCCUCGGGUCGUAAAGCUCUGUCAAGUGGGAAAAAAAUUUUUUGAUCAAUAGUCAAAAGACUUGAUGGUACCACUGGAGGAAGCACCGGCUAACUCCGUGCCAGCAGCCGCGGUAAUACGGAGGGUGCGAGCGUUGUUCGGAUUUACUGGGCGUAAAGGGCGUGUAGGCGGUUUAGCAAGUCAGAUGUGAAAGCCCUGGGCUCAACCCGGGAAGUGCAUUUGAAACUGCCUCACUAGAGUAUGGGAGAGGAGAUUGGAAUUCCUGGUGUAGAGGUGACAUUCGUAGAUAUCAGGAGGAACACCCGUGGCGAAGGCGAUUCUCUGGACCAAUACUGACGCUGAGACGCGAAAGCGUGGGGAGCAAACAGGAUUAGAUACCCCAGUAGUC